AGAGUUUGAUCAUGGCUCAGAUUGAACGCUGGCGGUAUGCUUAACACAUGCAAGUCGAACGGUAACAGGCCUUCGGGCGCUGACGAGUGGCGGACGGGUGAGUAACGCGUAGGAAUCUGCCUCAUAGUGGGGGACAACGUGGGGAAACUCACGCUAAUACCGCAUACGCCCUACGGGGGAAACGGGGGAUCUUCGGACCUCGCGCUAUGAGAUGAGCCUGCGUUAGAUUAGCUAGUUGGUAGGGUAAAGGCCUACCAAGGCGACGAUCUAUAGCUGGUCUGAGAGGACGAUCAGCCACACUGGGACUGAGACACGGCCCAGACUCCUACGGGAGGCAGCAGUGGGGAAUAUUGGACAAUGGGCGCAAGCCUGAUCCAGCAAUACCGCGUGUGUGAAGAAGGCCCUAGGGUUGUAAAGCACUUUCAAUUGGGAGGAAAACCUGCCGGUCAAUACCCGGCAGCUUGACAUUACCUUUAGAAGAAGCACCGGCUAACUCCGUG
rnacentral:rRNA from 1 species